UUGCUACCAAUAGUUCCUUUUUUCUCAUCUCACCUUACACUGUCUCCAUGUCCUGAUGUGCUUCAACUCAGAAGCACUGGAACUCUCUUGAUACCAAAGUUGUGUUAUGGUGUGUGAUAAGGUUGAUGAUGGUGGGUGUUAUGGGUUGAAUUGCAUCCCCCAAAAAAGAUAUUGAAGUCCUACCCUCCAGGACCUGUGAUUGUCACCUUAUUUGGAAAUAAGUUCUUUAUAGAUGAUCAAGUUAAGAUGAGGUCAUUGGGGUGGGCCUUAAUCUAAUAUGACUGGGUUCAUAUAAGAUAGAAUAGAAACGGAAGGAAGAGAAGAUGGUGUGAAUACACAGGGAGAGCACCGUCAACAAGUGAAGGAACUCCUGAGGCUCCUGAUGCUAAGAGAGAGAGACAUGGAAGACAUUCUCCCUCACAGCCCCCAGAAAGAAUCAACUUCUCUCAUACUUUAAUUUUGGACUCCAAACUCUCAGAACAAUACAGUUCUGUUGUUUAAGCCACCCAAUUUGUGCUUUCUUACAGCAGUCCCUGGAAAGUAAUACAGUGGAGGAGGACCCCCAUGAUUACAUUCUGCGAGAGGAGUUCCUAAGCAUUGCAGCAUGAAAAACAGUGCUUAAAAGCUUAAGCAAUAUUUUUCAAAAUAUUGACCUAUCUCAGUAGGAACUGAGAUAGGCAACAAAUCUGACUGACAGAAUACAUUUCAAACUUUCAAAAUUGUGUCUUCCUCUUACUGUGGGUCCUUACCCCUGAACAAAGUUCAUCACACCUGGCUUCACGUUGCAGGGUAUAUUUUUUUGAUGCCUGCCUUAUCUGGCUUCCAGUCAUGCCCUGGAAUUUGAGUGUCUCUCAAAUGUAAAAAUCAAAAAGUAUAUUGUAAAAAUGUCUAUACUAUGCAAAGUAAUAUACAGAUUCAAUGCAAUUUCUAUCAAGAUUCCAAUGACAUUUUUCACAGAAAUAGAAAAAAAUCUAAAAUUUAUAUGAAAACAUCAAAGACAUCAAAUAGCCAAAACAAUCUUGAACAAAAAGAACAAAGCUGGAAGCAUUACACUAUUUGAUUUCAAAAUGUACUGCAAAGCUAUAGCAAUCAAAACAACAUGGUACUGGCACAAAAACAGAAAUAUGGACCAAUGAAAUUGAACAGAGAGCCCAGAAAUAAAUUCACCCAUUUACAGUUAACUGAUCUUCAACAAAAGUGCCAAGAUCAUACAACUGAGAAAGGACAGUCUCUUCAAUAAAUGGUGCUGGAAAAACUUGAUAUCCACAUGCAGAAGAAUGAAAUUGGACCCUUAUUUCAUCCCAUAUACAAAAAUCAACAUAAAAUGGAUUAAAGACUUAAAUGUAAGACCAGAAACUAUAAAACUAUUAGAAGAAAACCUAGAGACAUUGACAUUGGUCUUGGCAAAGAUUUUUUGGAUAUGACCCCAAAAGCACAGGCAGCAAAAGCAAAACUAGACAAAUGGAAUUACAUCAAACCAAAAAAAUAGCUUCACAGCAAAAGAAGCAAUCAACAGAGUGAAGAGAAAACCUAUGCAAUGGGAGAAAAUAUAUGUAAAUCAUACAUGAAAUAAGGAACUAAUAUCCAAAAUAUAUAAGAAAUUCAAACAUCUGAACAGCAAAAAAAAAAAAAAAAAGAAAAUUUAAAAAUGGGCAAAAGAUCUGAACAGACAUUUCUGCAAACAGAAUGUAUGAAAGGCCAACAGGUAUAUGAAGAGAUGCUCAACAUCACUAAUCAUUGGAGAAAUGCAAAUUAAAACCACAAUUAGAUAUCUAUCAUCUCACCUCUCUAAGAUAAGCAUUUGCAAAAAUGUGGAGAAAAGAGGACCCUUGCACGCAGUUGGUGGAAAUGUACAUUAGUAUAGCCUCAUGGAAAAUAGUAUGGAGGUUCCUCAAAAAAUUAAAAAUAGGACUACCAUAUGAUCCAGCAAUCUCACUUCUGAAUAUGUAUCCAAAGGAAAUGAAAUCAGUAUGGUAAAAAGAUAUCUGCAUUCCCAUAUUCAUUGCAACAUUACUUGCAAUAGCCAAGAUAGGGAAUCAACUGAUGAAUGAAUAAAGAAAAUGUGGUAUACAUAAUAUAAUGGAAUACCAUUUUGCCUUAAAAAGGAGGAAAUCGGGUCAUCUGCAACAAGCUAAGUGAAAAAAACCAGGCACAGAAGGACAAAUACUGUAUGAUCUCACUUACAUGUGGAAUUUAAAAAAGUUUAACUCAUAGAAGCAAAGGGUAGAAUAGUGGUUGCCAGGGACUGGGGCUAGGGGUGGGAGCAGGGAAUGGGGAGUUAUGGUCAAAGACUACAAAGUUUCAAAUAGACAGGAGGAAUAAGAUCUGGUGAACUAUAGUACAGCAUGUGACUAUAGUUAAUAAUAUUGUAUUGUACACUUGAAAGUUGCUAAGAGAGUAGAUUUAAAUGUUCUCAUCACCAAAAAUGAUAAAUAUAUGCAGAAGUGACAGAUAUAUUAAUUUGAUUUAAUUGUUCCACUGUGUAUACAUAUAUCAAAACAUCAUGUUAUACACCAUACAUAUAUACAAUUUUUCACCUUGCCAAUUAGAAAUAAAAAUUAUUCAUAUAAAAUAAAAAUAAAAAUAAAAAAUAAAAUUCAAAUUCAUAACCCAAAUUUCCCUAGACCUCUGCUUCCUCUGCAUAUAACAUGUUUGAGUCUCGCCUAAACUCAAAUUGGACCUCCACAGUCUUAGCAAAACUCUUUUAGAAAGUGCAAUAAUAUUUCUUAAUAAUCUGUCCCAGGUUAUCACUUUCCAUAAGAAUAUCCUUUUUUGAGUUCUCCUUGAAACCAUAGUUCAAAACAAAUGUGUUUGUUCUUGCAUUAUUUUUGGUAGAGAGAAGAACUAUGUGAUAAGAUAAACCUUAAGAUAAAUCCAUGUCUAUUGGGGAUAAAAGUUUUCAGUUAUUCUGCUCUUCACAAACUAACCCUAGUUCCUCUAAUCUUAAAGGUUUUAGCUUUCAACUUUUAGUUAUUUGAAUUUUGGGGGAAAGAUCUCACAUCAAUUUCUCCAUGUUAAGAUUUAAAUAACCAAACUGGAAGUUAAGUUUUUUUUUCUUUUUUGACAGAGUCUAGCUCUGUCGCCCAGGCUGGAGUGCAGUGGUGCGAUCUGGGCUCACUGCCAGCUCCGCCUCCCGGGUUCACGCCA
rnacentral:lncRNA from 1 species